AACGAACGCUGGCGGCAUGCCUAACACAUGCAAGUCGAACGGGAUCCUAGCUUGCUAGGUGAGAGUGGCGGACGGGUGAGUAACACGUGGGAAUCUGCCUUUUUGGUUCGGGAUAACCGCGGGAAACUGCGGCUAAUACCGAAUGCCCUCGAGAGAGGAAAGAUUUAUCGCCAGAAGAGGAGCCCGCGUCCGAUUAGGUAGUUGGUGGGGUAAAGGCCUACCAAGCCGACGAUCGGGUAGCUGGUCUGAGAGGAUGAUCAGCCACACUGGGGACUGAGAUACGGCCCAGACUCCUACGGGAGGCAGCAGUGGGGAAUAUUGGACAAUGGGGGCAACCCGUGAUCCAGCAAUGCCGGCGUGAGUGAUUGAAGGCCUUAGGGUUAGU
rnacentral:rRNA from 1 species